rnacentral:rRNA from 1 species
GAUGAACGCUGGCGGCGUGCCUAAUACAUGCAAGUCGAGCGAACAGACGAGGAGCUUGCUCCGCUGACGUGUGCGGCGGACGUGUGUGUCACGUGUGUAUAACCUCCCUAUCAGACUGGUAUCACUUGGGGACACCGGCUCUUAUACCGGAUGAUAUAUUGAUCCGCAUGGGUGAAUGGUGAGAGACGGUGUUUCUGUCACGUAUAGAGGGAUACGCGCCGCAUUAGCUAGUUGGUAAGUUACAGGCUUACCAAGGCAACGAUGCGUAGACGACCUGAGAGGGGGGUCGGCCACACUGGAACUGAGACACGGUCCAGACUCCUACGGGAGGCAGCAGUAGGGAAUCUUCCGCAAUGGGCGAAAGCCUGACGGAGCAACGCCGCGUGAGUGAUGAAGGUCUUCGGAUCGUAAAACUCUGUUAUUAGGGAAGAACAAAUGUGUAAGUAACUAUGCACGUCUUGACGGUACCUAAUCAGAAAGCCACGGCUAACUACGUG